rnacentral:rRNA from 1 species
GGAGUACGCCGGCAACGUGAACUCAAGGAAUUGACGGGGCCCGCACAAGCGGAGGACAUGUGUUAUUCGAUGAUACGCGAGGAACCUUACCCGGGCUUGAACUGCAGCCGAACGAUAGAGAGAUCUUGAGUCCUUCGGGACGGCUGUGGAGUGCUGCAUGGUUGUCGUCAGCUCGUGCCGUGAGGUGUCGGCUUAAGUGCCAUAACGAGCGCAACCCCUUUCAUUAGUUGCCAUCAGGUUAUGCUGGGCACUCUAGUGAUACUGCCACCGUAAGGUGUGAGGAAGGUGGGGAUGACGUCAAAUCAGCACGGCCCUUACGUCCGGGGCUACACACGUGUUACAAUGGGUGGUACAGAGAGUAAACUGCCGGCAACGUCAGUUCAAUCGAUAAAGCCAUCCUCAGUUCGGAUUGGGGUCUGCAACCCGACCCCAUGAAGCUGGAUUCGCUAGUAAUCGCGCAUCAGCCAUGGCGCGGUGAAUACGUUCCCGGGCCUUGUACACACCGCCCGUCAAGCCAUGAAAGCCUGGGGCGCCUGAAGUCCGUGACCGCGAGGGUCGGCCUAGGGUGAAACAGGUGAUUGGGGCU